UACGAAGGGGGCUAGCGUUGCUCGGAAUGACUGGGCGUAUAGGGCGCGUAGGCGGUUUGGUUAGUUAGGCGUGAAAUUCCUGGGCUCAACCUGGGGGCUGCGCUUAAUACAGCCAGACUAGAGUGUGAAAGAGGGUCGUGGAAUUCCCAGUGUAGAGGUGAAAUUCGUAGAUAUUGGGAAGAACACCGGUGGCGAAGGCGGCGACCUGGUUCAUUACUGACGCUGAGGCGCGAAAGCGUGGGGAGCAAACAGG
rnacentral:rRNA from 1 species